rnacentral:rRNA from 1 species
CCUACGGGAGGCAGCAGUGGGGAAUUUUGGACAAUGGGCGCAAGCCUGAUCCAGCCAUGCCGCGUGCGGGAAGAAGGCCUUCGGGUUGUAAACCGCUUUUGUCAGGGAAGAAAAGGUUCUGGCUAAUACCUGGGACUCAUGACGGUACCUGAAGAAUAAGCACCGGCUAACUACGUGCCAGCAGCCGCGGUAAUACGUAGGGUGCAAGCGUUAAUCGGAAUUACUGGGCGUAAAGCGUGCGCAGGCGGUUAUGCAAGACAGAGGUGAAAUCCCCGGGCUCAACCUGGGAACUGCCUUUGUGACUGCAUAGCUAGAGUACGGUAGAGGGGGAUGGAAUUCCGCGUGUAGCAGUGAAAUGCGUAGAUAUGCGGAGGAACACCGAUGGCGAAGGCAAUCCCCUGGACCUGUACUGACGCUCAUGCACGAAAGCGUGGGGAGCAAACAGGAUUAGAUACCCUGGUAGUCCACGCCCUAAACGAUGUCAACUGGUUGUUGGGAGGGUUUCUUCUCAGUAACGUAGCUAACGCGUGAAGUUGACCGCCUGGGGAGUACGGCCGCAAGGUUUGAAACGUUCAAAUUAGAAGUAGAGGCGNGAGAGNGCGACGGACGACGACGAGGGAGGAGG